GAUGAACGCUGGCGGCGUGCCUAAUACAUGCAAGUCGAGCGAACAGACGAGGAGCUUGCUCCUCUGACGUUAGCGGCGGACGGGUGAGUAACACGUGGAUAACCUACCUAUAAGACUGGGAUAACUUCGGGAAACCGGAGCUAAUACCGGAUAAUAUAUUGAACCGCAGGGUUCAAUAGUGAAAGACGGUUUUUGUGUCACUUAUAGAGGGAUCCGCGCCGCAUUAGCUAGUUGGUAAGGUAACGGGUUACCAAGGGAACGAUGCGUAGCCGACGGCAGAGGGUGAUAGGCCACACUGGAACUGAGACACGGUCCAGACUCCUACGGGAGGCCGCAGUAGGGAAUCUUCCGCAAUGGUCGAAAGCCUUACGGAGCAACGCCGCGUGAGUUAUGAAGGUCUUCGGAUCGUAAAACUCUGUUAUUAGGGAAGAACAAAUGUGUAAGUAACUAUGCCCGUCUUGACGGUACCUAAUCAGAAAGCCACGGCUAACUACGUG
rnacentral:rRNA from 1 species